rnacentral:tRNA from 1 species
AGCGCGAUUUGGACCGGGACGCGGCCCGCCCUCUCACGGCGAAAACAGGGGUUCGAUUCCCCUAGGGAGCGCCA